rnacentral:rRNA from 1 species
CUUCGGGGUACACGAGCGGCGAACGGGUGAGUAACACGUGGGUAAUCUGCCCUGCACUCUGGGAUAAGCCUGGGAAACUGGGUCUAAUACCGGAUAUGACAACCUUGGGCAUCCAGGGUUGUGGAAAGUUCCGGCGGUGCAGGAUGGGCCCGCGGCCUAUCAGCUUGUUGGUGGGGUAAUGGCCUACCAAGGCGACGACGGGUAGCCGGCCUGAGAGGGCGACCGGCCACACUGGGACUGAGACACGGCCCAGACUCCUACGGGAGGCAGCAGUGGGGAAUAUUGCGCAAUGGGCGAAAGCCUGACGCAGCGACGCCGCGUGAGGGAUGACGGCCUUCGGGUUGUAAACCUCUUUCAGUGCCGACGAAGCGAAAGUGACGGUAGGUACAGAAGAAGCACCGGCCAACUACGUGCCAGCAGCCGCGGUAAUACGUAGGGUGCGAGCGUUGUCCGGAAUUAUUGGGCGUAAAGAGCUCGUAGGCGGUUUGUUGCGUCGGCUGUGAAAACUCGGGGCUUAACUCUGAGCUUGCAGUCGAUACGGGCAGACUUGAGUUCGGCAGGGGAGACUGGAAUUCCUGGUGUAGCGGUGAAAUGCGCAGAUAUCAGGAGGAACACCGGUGGCGAAGGCGGGUCUCUGGGCCGAUACUGACGCUGAGGAGCGAAAGCGUGGGGAGCGAACAGGAUUAGAUACCCUGGUAGUCCACGCCGUAAACGUUGGGCGCUAGGUGUGGGGGUCAUUCCACGGCCUCCGUGCCGCAGCUAACGCAUUAAGCGCCCCGCCUGGGGAGUACGGCCGCAAGGCUAAAACUCAAAGGAAUUGACNGGGGNCCGCACAAGCGGCGGAGCAUGUGGAUUAAUUCGAUGCAACGCGAAGAACCUUACCUGGGCUUGACAUACACCGGAAACCUGCAGAGAUGUAGGCCCCCUUG